AACUAAACUUGGGAGGCAUUGUGUUAUUACUGUGUUACUGAGUUGUUAUACUAUUUGACGGCCAUCAAACUUUGGAAUCUCAUAGUUCUCAAGGUUAGUAAAUUUAAUUUCAUUUGGAAGCAUUUUAUUUAUUAAUUCAAUCUUUGUUUGUAUAUUCCAUGAAUAUUGUUAUCUUUUUUAUGUGGUAGUGUAUUUCAUUUUGUUUAGGAAUAAUUUUGAAUGGAUAAAUCUUGACAACAAAAGUACAAUAGUUUAGAAUGAGUGGCAACAAAAGUACAACAAUUUAGAAUCAGCGCUUAAAGCAUACAUGAUAAUGAAGGAAGGAAAGAUUCCUGAUGAAUUUACCUCAUUCUUUGAUUUUCAAUUCAAGUAAGUUACUGAUAUAGUUGAAGCAUUAUGCCUUAUAUACUUUAAUUAUAAGCAUUCCUUACUAUUAAUAUUUUUGUUUUAUCAUUUCAAGAAGGUGGUGAUGCAAAUGAGCCCAAGUCUUCUUUGGGUGGUACAAUAGGAUCAUCUGGUGCUAGAAACAUUUAGGAAGUUUAUGAUGUCUUUUAGGAUGAAACUAUAUUUAGCCUAUGGAUUUUGAGUAAUUGAGUUUAGUUGUAAUUACGAUUCAAUUUAACUUACUUUUAUAUACUAUGGUGUUUUUGAGAAUUGAAUGUUUUAAUGAUAUAUAAUUCAAGACUUUGGUAAAAGAAGUUUGUCA
rnacentral:lncRNA from 1 species